UUUCUCUGCCCCAGUGACCAGAAGGCCUCCAGUGUGGUCCUGCCCCUGAUCCUGCCCUGCUUCUACCCCGAGCUCUUCAUGCUCUACAUGCUGUACCACGAGAGGGAAGAUGACCUGUACUGCCAGGGCAUCGUGGACCUCAGCCUGUUCCCUGACAUCAAGCUCCUGGAAUUCCUGGAUGUGCAGAAGCACCUCUGGCCUCUCAAGGAUCUCACCCUGACGACCAACCAGAGGCGCUCCCUGAUCAAGGACAAGUGUUUCCUGUCGGCCACCGAGUGUUUGCAGAAGCUCAUGUGAGUCCGGGCAAAUUU